rnacentral:rRNA from 1 species
UGAACGCUGGCGGCGUGCCUAAUACAUGCAAGUCGAGCGAACAGAUGAGGAGCUUGCUCCUCUGACGUAGCGGCGGACGGGGGAGGAACACGUGGAUAACCUACCUAUAAGACUGGGAUAACUUCGGGAAACCGGAGCUAAUACCGGAUAAUAUAUUGAACCGCAUGGUUCAAUAGUGAAAGACGGGUUUGCUGUCACUUAUAGAUGGAUCCGCGCCGCAUUAGCUAGUUGGUAAGGUAACGGCUUACCAAGGCAACGAUGCGUAGCCGACCUGAGAGGGUGAUCGGCCACACUGGAACUGAGACACGGUCCAGACUCCUACGGGAGGCAGCAGUAGGGAAUCUUCCGCAAUGGGCGAAAGCCUGACGGAGCAACGCCGCGUGAGUGAUGAAGGUCUUCGGAUCGUAAAACUCUGUUAUUAGGGAAGAACAAAUGUGUAAGUAACUAUGCACGUCUUGACGGUACCUAAUCAGAAAGCCACGGCUAACUACGUG